UGGAAACUUUUUAGAAGUUUAGGAAGUGAACUGUACGCUGAGUUCCGGUAUCUCUGCACCGAUAGGAAUGUCUGAGGAACUUAAACCUUAGACAGAGCUUCAAGUGUCCUCCCUCCACCCUGAAGUGAUGAGUAAAACAGUCACAUGGCUGUCACAGGACUGGACACUCCAAGGGAACACCUUGGACACAUCUUCAUGUUACAGUCUCUCUUUGCAGCCAAUGGAGACCACCACAGAGAAGCACAAUGGGACAGAACAGAGAGAUCAACAGAUUGAGGGAAGUAUGGCUCAAGUGAAUGCAACUACAUCACAGCUCCUGCAGCUGUGGCUCUGGAAACAUCAUGAAAGAGAAGGAGGAAAGACUGUAAGAGGUAGAGUACCAGGAAGUCUUCUGUGUAUACUCUCCUAUAAAUGGCUGCAUAAGUAGGACCACAACAAUGUGAUAUCAAUGGGCAUGGGAAUGUGGAAAGGGUAUAAGGGGGUCUCACUCCUAGACAAGGAACUACAGGUAACUAAUGACUUCUUGGAAAAGGAGAAUUGUACCAGAUGUGGGAAUACUUUUUGGUAUUCAAUGCAGAGGACCAUCUUUGAAAGUCCAUACACACUACCAACAAAAUCAGGCUCAAGCAGGUUAUAUAAUAUUUGUGCAUACACAUGCAUAAACAUACACAUGUGUAUGACAAUAAGAGUCAAAGAAAAAUUUACUAACUUCAGGGAGGUUAUGGGAUGAGUUUGAGUGAGAGUAAUUGGGAGAGCUGGAGGAAAGAAAAAGGGGUGAUGCGAUUAUAUUUUAUCUAUC